UACGAAGGGGGCUAGCGUUGCUCGGAAUCACUGGGCGUAAAGGGUGCGUAGGCGGGUCUUUUAAGUCAGGGGUGAAAUCCUGGAGCUCAACUCCAGAACUGCCUUUGAUACUGAGAUCUUGAGUUCGGGAGAGGUGAGUGGAACUGCGAGUGUAGAGGUGAAAUUCGUAGAUAUUCGCAAGAACACCAGUGGCGAAGGCGGCUCACUGGCCCGGUACUGACGC
rnacentral:rRNA from 1 species